GAGACCCAUAUGCCGGGAGACUGGCACGUAUGGUUCGGGGGGAGGUAUAUGUCUUCCACAUGGGAGAUGGGUACCGACCCUAC
rfam:Marchantia polymorpha subsp. polymorpha scaffold4874, whole genome shotgun sequence.